GCCCCAGGCCUAUCCUAAUCCCGAGCGGAGCUACCUGUAGCCCGUGUAGAGCGCGGAAAGGUGUCGGUCUUGCGAGCGCAAGGCUUAAGGGACGUGCCAGAACCCUGCAGAAAUGCAGGCCAGCUACUCGAGCGCCCGCCGCGCGAAAGGUAGUUGGGCGCUAUAGCGUGCUAUAGCGUCGUAUAGUGGGUAACUAAAACGGCCAGCAGCCGCGGUAAUUCCAGCUCCAAUAGCGUAUAUUAAAGUUGUUGCAGUUAAAAAGCUCGUAGUUGAACCUUGGGCCUGGCUGGCCGGUCCGCCUCACCGCGUGCACUGGUUCGGCCGGGCCUUUCCCUCUGGGGAACCCCAUGCCCUUCACUGGGUGUGGCGGGGAACCAGGACUUUUACUGUGAAAAAAUUAGAGUGUUCAAAGCAGGCCUAUGCUCGAAUACAUCAGCAUGGAAUAAUAGAAUAGGACGUGCGGUUCUAUUUUGUUGGUUUCUAGGACCGCCGUAAUGAUUAAUAGGGACAGUCGGGGGCAUCAGUAUUCAAUUGUCAGAGGUGAAAUUCUUGGAUUUAUUGAAGACUAACUACUGCGAAAGCAUUUGCCAAGGAUGUUUUCAUUAAUCAGGAACGAAAGUUAGGGGAUCGAAGACGAUUUAAUCACUGUAUUUGGUCGUCCAAAGUGCAAGCUAGUCCGCCGCGGGGCAACCCGCGGGGGGCGACACCGUCAAAUUGCGGGGACCUCCUUAGAGCCCUCACCACACCUCGCGGCUAGAAAUAGCGGCGAGUCGUAAUAGUGUGAGGGAUUGGACAAUCCGCAGCCAAGUCCGUACGGCGCCUCGGGGCGCCAGGAUGCAGUUCACAGACUAAAUGUCGGUGGGAGCGCUCCGCUGUAGCGCCCUUAAAAUAUAGUCGAGCCGCCGCUGAAAAGCCGCGGGGUACCUGCAGAUA
rnacentral:rRNA from 1 species